rnacentral:rRNA from 1 species
UACAGAGGUCCCGAGCGUUGUUCGGAUUCAUUGGGCGUAAAGGGUGCGUAGGCGGUCUGCUAAGUUUGAUGUGAAAUCCCGGGGCUCAACCCUGGAAUGGCAUUGAAUACUGGUGGACUAGAGCACUGGAGAGGAAACUGGAAUUUACGGUGUAGCAGUGAAAUGCGUAGAGAUCGUAAGGAAGACCAGUGGCGAAGGCGAGUUUCUGGACAGUAACUGACGCUGAGGCACGAAGGCCAGGGGAGCAAACGGG